GACCUAAACCGCUUGGGCGGCAUGGUUGUAACAAAAUCCAUCGCGAAAUGAAAAGCUCGUCGUCAGAGCACUAUUUCGCGAUGGUCAGUAUCGGAAACGAUACUGGGUAGCCUAGGCUACC
rnacentral:sRNA from 12 species